rnacentral:rRNA from 1 species
GCACACUAGGGGCGCAGCAGUGAGGAAUAUUGGUCAAUGGGCGAGAGCCUGAACCAGCCAAGUCGCGUGAGGGAAGACGGUCCUAUGGAUUGUAAACCUCUUUUGUCGGGGAGCAAAAAGGCCUCGUGAGGCCACAAGUGAGAGUACCCGAAGAAAAAGCAUCGGCUAACUCCGUGCCAGCAGCCGCGGUAAUACGGAGGAUGCGAGCGUUAUCCGGAUUUAUUGGGUUUAAAGGGUGCGUAGGCGGACUGGAAAGUCAGCGGUAAAAUCGAGGGGCUCAACCUCUUUCCGCCGUUGAAACUGUC